GGCGCAGCACGCAGGAAUAGGGUGUUCUCGGUGGAGCUCACGACGGAAAGUUUUCAGGCUGUGUGAAGACCAGGAAAAACAGGGUUUCUAGACAACAAACUUCAAUUGUACUCUUCUGGGACCUCUGAGACCAAUGUGAACCUGCUGAAAAGGAGUGUAAUAUGGGACAUUUUAAGCUAAACUACCGACCUAGCGGGGCUGCUUCUUCUACUUCAAGUCUGGUCGAGGAAACGUUGCUAGCUAACCGUUCGGUCAUGGACAAGAUGUCGGUCCACCUGUUGAGUCUUCACAAAGGAUUUAUCUUCAUUUUUUAAAGUCAGACGUGUGGACUUUACUUCAGAGAGCCACUGCACUGUGAGUAAUUUUUAACCUGCUGUUGUCUUAUUGUAUAUUUAAAUGUCAGGAAAAGCUCAAACAUGGCAGGUAGAGGGCGCUUAUUGUUCGUUGUUCUGUACUGACAGGUGUUGUGUCGUAGAAUGCACCCCUGCCGUAGAAUGCCCCCCUGACGGGAGCGCGGUUGAAAGUACAUAACAAGGCGAAAUAAUCCAAGUUUUCUUUACCAUUGGAUGGAUUCAAAUACGUGUGCCUUUAAUGAUUUCAUUCAGGCUCUUCAGUUAAACCAAAAACAAUAGCCCUAAAAAUAUCUUAACAGCUUACUGUACAGUUUAUACACCCAAGUACACCUCUAUGUUUGCAUUUUUGAGAGACAUAAAAACAGAACAAAAGUUUGCUGCUCCAGUUGACAUGUUGUCAUGAUCCAAGACUUGUGUUUUUCUUUUUAAUAUGAGAUCAUUUUCUUCCACUUUAAGAAGCUAAGGAGUGAAUGGGAUGCAGGGGAUGCAUUCUACAGCACAACACCUGCUGUCAUGCCAUUAUCCAGUAUUUGCUCCUGUUGAUAACUUUGUUAAAUGGUUAAGCAUGCUUUCCUCUUAAUUGGCUGUUGUUAUACAUGUUAGCAUGUGACACUGUCAUUGCUUUAAAUCACAUUUGCUCACAUGACUUAUGGUGUGAACAUACUGUCAUAAAGAUGUGUCUUGGUUGUGCAGUAGCAGCAUUUGAGGCCAAUAUCUUGAGUUUUAUGUUAAAUAUUCUGCUGCUGGAAACAUAUAAUUUGCGAACCUUGGUAGGUUUGCUAUCCUGAAUAUCUUUUCAGUGUUUCUUUCACUUCCCAUGUACCUUUUAACAUAAAAAUAGAACUGUUAAUGAUUAUAUUACCCUCUCGAUAACAUGUAGUGGAGGCACUGCCAGUCUUAAACUUUCAGCUCUUUUGGCAAAACUUUAAAAACGCGGAUCUUUCCUUUCAUUACAGCAUAUGGCUGCUUAAACUCAAGCUGUGAUGAUAUAUUGAGGUAAAGCCUGUGAUGUGCCACUUCGCCCACUACCUCUUCAAGCUUUGUGGGCUUAACUGCAAAGAUUAAUUAUUUUAUUCUGAACCAAUUAGCAGAUAAGGCAUUAUUCAAGUUCUGAAUAAAAGUAUGUGUGUUUUUAUAUAUAGAGUUAACAUUGUGUAGGAUUUGUUGCUAAAAGGGAUCUUUUCAUCAAAAUCUCUCUUGAAUGUAACCCUUUCUUUAUUUCUUUCUGAAAAUUUGAAUAACCAUCAUGACAUUAGUGUGAUUUUUUUGGAUAGUUGUAUGACUACAGUGCCCCGGGGCAGCUAUUUCAAAUUACUAGCCUGGCUGUGUUUGCAAACAGCCUUUCAUAUCAUUCAAAAGAAGACACCUACACCCAUACACAAGCAUGCACAUACAGGGGCUUGAAGAACUCAACCUCACUUUCAUAAUCAGUUUUCACCACCUCUUGGUUUUCUUAGACUGGACCUCUCAGAGAUACACACUGGCACUAAGUUUGAUAGAUUUGUUUACAUGCUUUGGGCUUGUCUGCCGUGUUUAACUUUUUUAAGAGUAAUAUGUUGACUUCUAUUGGCAGGUACACUGUGACAUCUUCAGUGUGUCACACACAUUUCACCCUCUUUAGUUUGUUUGCGUGUGUGUGACAGAGAGUGGGUAGAAGAGCUCAGGUAGAUGAAAAAGUUAGUGCUUUGAUAGAAAAUGCCCUUCAGUUUGUUUGCAGCUGUCCAGAAACUACUAAAGUGUUGUUCAGUAUUUUUUGUAUAUCUUAAGUUAUUGUUAUUUCAGGUUUCCAUGGAGUACAGGUAUAAAGACACAGUUUUAGGCUGUUUUACCCAUUUACCCAUUGGUGUCAUGUAUGUCCAAUGUAUAUUAUGUUGGUUUUUAUCUGAAUGAAAUAUGUCUAUCUACAGCAUGCUUCUUAUAGUAUCUCCAAUAGGUGUGAAUUUGUAUCAGCCCAUCAACCAAGAGCUAAUUUGCACUGCUUGUCUCAGAUUAAUCACAUAGUGGACAUAACAGUGAACACUCUGGAUCUCAGAGCUUUAUGCCAAAAUGGAUUGACCAUCCCUUUCAUUUCCCCCCCCAUCAUCAGCCUUUCCUUGUUUUCCUCCUAUUGCUCUGUUGCUUCUAUUGUGUCUGGAAAAGACAGAAUUAUUUGACAAGGAAAGACAAAAAUAGCUCUGUUGGUUCAAAAAUAAAUGCCACAAUAUCGCAGGACAUCAAAACGUCGCUGAUAUGAACGGUUGUAUUGACAGGAUACGGGUUCGAAAAAAAAUAUUGACGUCCGAUAUAAUCACACAACAAAAACGCUCCAAUGUGUGAAAUGACUUUUACUCUACAUCAUAUGGUCGAAAAAGGAAUCCUGAGAAUAACUAGUAACUAUUUUAGUGUCUUUUUAACAGGUAGGGAAUGCAGGUUUUCAGAGAGGCAGGUAAGCCAUUAAAUUAUUACAGUCAAGCUGGACUAAAGGAUGUGGUGGAGAGAUGUACACCGAGGAAGGUGGAGUCUAUUCUAAAGAACAUGGAUCACCCACUUCACAACACCUUGAUGGACCAAAGGGCAAAUGGUGGUGGAUGGCUCCUCUCUUUUCUCUGCAGGACAGAAAGAUUCAGAAGAUCUUUUGUACCAACAGCCAUCAGACUUUAUAACUCUUGUGUAAAUAGUAGAUAACUUUUAGAGACAUUAUGUGAGACAACAGACAGUUGAAUUUCCCUUUGAGGAUUGAUAAAGUUCUUCUUAUUGCUUAAUUCGCACAAGUCUAGACACGUGAAUGAAUAGCAUUUACUCGCUUCAUUUGCGCGUCAACGGUAAUCCCCACCAGUUCAACCUUCGUGCUGAUUGGUUAUCGCAAUGCUAAUAUCCACUCACGUUGAGACAUUUUCAGCUCUUGCCCAAUUCGCGUCUAAUUCCGUCUUUGCAUUGACUUAACACGCAAUUCAUUUGCGCGAAUGAUUUUACUUGUGCUUGGUGUGUGGAGACAGAUACAGCUCUCCAUUUAGAAAAUAUGAAACUUAAUAAACCAGUUUUAUCAUCUAUGGUGUUGACAACAAUGUAUGAUAUGGUAUGGUAUGGUGUUAUAUCGUAUCUCAUUGCAUCAUGGUUAAAAUGUGUUGUUGAACCCUAUUAUGUUGUCCUUUUUUUGUGAGUGCUUGUUUGUGAGACCUUAGAAGGGCAAGUGGAGGUGACUGAUCACUUUGUCUCGCUCUGUUUAAUCGGAUGGAGUCUGCAAGCCUCUGGCAAAGUUGGCUCCCUCGAAACACAACACACACUCAUGAACACACACACAUGCACACACACACACGUAGCCCAUCAAUGACCCGUGUAUAGCAUUCAGCCAUUUGGAGUCAUUUCAAUGCAACAGCCAUUUUCCUUCAGGCGGACAAAGGCUGUAGAUCUGCUCAAGGGCACAUACAAUUUUCUGCAAUCUGGAGCCUCUCCUGCUCGACUUCUGAUUGAUAGACUCUGUGAUCCAACUCUCGUCUUUAGAUGUCCUCAUUCUUUUAUACCUUCUCUCAAAGAUACACUUCUUCUCUUUUACAAGGACUUUUCUUGUCUUUCUUUUGUCUGUGUUCUCUCUGAUUGUGGAGAAAGUAUUUUUAGAACAAGUUUUAAAGCUGGGGUGUUAAUAAAUCAGAAGCAAAUAAUAAUGUAGUGAGUCGUAGAAGCUAAUGCAUCGAAAUGUUUUUUUGCCUCUUUUAUGACGAGGAACUGUUGGUCAAAAUCAAAACCUAAACAGGCAAUAACUUUACAAAAUGCAUUUAAAAAGCAUUUCUGAUAGUUCAUUCCCAGUCAGUCAUUAAUUGAUCAUUUGUUAUGGAUCCCCAUUUAAUUUACCUCUAAUUGGCAGGACGUAUUUGGACCAUUUUUUGGUUCUCAGGGCUUAAAAAUAUGUAGGACACAACAGAAGUAUGUCUUUGGAGACUUGAAUCAGGAAGUGUGUGUGCGCAUGUUUCAUAGCCGGUUUAGAGAGAUCCUCUGCAGCUGUCAGAGUGCUUAUUAACUUGCCAAGUUACGAAGUAUUCGACAGGAAGCCUUCCCUGUCCGUGCUCCUACAUUAAAUCAGUGGUAAACAAGAAUACACAGAUGGCAGACUGUGAAGUGUUAAACAAGUGUGGAUUAACUUUGUCUAACUCUGACUCUACCACAAUAGUUUAAUAUUCCCACAGUAAUCCAGUAUUUGAAAAACAGUUGAUUGGUAACUAAGCUGUUCACAACAAAUACUGUUUUUCAGCAACACCUUGCAUCUGAUUCUUUAUAUGCCUUCAACCAGAUCUCUCUGUUGACCACUAUCAACUUCAGGAUUGCCUUUGCUUAAGGGCACUUCAUUUUUGUUUCUGUAUCUUGCACAACAAUUCUCAAACUUAAAGCUCUGUGAUCUUGACGUUUCUUUCAGUCCCUGUUUCCUUCAAGCCUGCUUCAGUCACUCAAAAAUAUUGUAAUGUUUUUCAUCAAAGCGCUCUCUUUCCCCUGCAAAUGAUCUGUUCUGUCUUGUGUGAUCUGUGAGAUCAAACUUUAAAUCCUAGUACACUAUCCACAGUCUGAGGAACUGACCCUGACCCCUAAGAAUUUUCAGGCUGAGCUCUAACGGGCUUAAAUUCGACUUUUAACAACCCAUAUGAGAUUAAAUACCACGGCUCCACUACCUUUAAUGCGGUGCAUUCAGGUUCUCUGAAGAUUUAUUAAUCAAGCUCCAUGUGUCUGGUUGAUUCUGCAGCUGAAAGUUAAAAAAAAGGUGCUGAUUUGUGGUAAGUGAGACAUCUCAAGUUAAAUCAAUUCUCUGCACUUUACUGGCUCUAUUGUCUACUGAUGUAAGGUCCUACGUGACAUUUCAGAACAAUCAAUAUUUUGCUUGUGUGUGACAUUUGCAAGAAGUUCAUAAUUUGCUGCAGAAUUAAUGGUUUUGACCAAAGCAUACCAGAGAAGGUUGAACCGGUGAUCCAAAUAGUAGAAACCUUCAGACAACAUGUGCAGAUUACACACCAUAUAUAUAGAUGUGUUUCUGCUCCCUUCUAAGAUAGAACCAUGGAGCAAAUACUAGAAUGCUCAUGGGGCCGUGGAGGAGGAAAUUAAUCCGUGACUUUGAGUUGGAAAGGUUGUCGGGCUCAUGGAGACCCUGACAGUCUUGUUAUAAAAAAACAUGGAGUUAUUUACCAGUACACAGAAUCUGAUGAAGCAGUCCUUGUAGGCAGAGGUCUUAUUUGAAACCCAGAUUGGAUCCAGAUGUUAGAGGGAAAUAGGGGGUAAGAGGGGCUAUGAUUUGUCCUUAUUCUUGUCUCAAGUGUACUUGCUUAUCGGGUCCUUGACCUUUCAAACAUCAGGGAGAAAAUGAAACAUUAAAGGUUUUAUUUAAUUUGUAUGUGAUGUUUGGGAGUUAUUCCCUUUCCUUAACUAGAUUCCGCUUAAAGAGAAGCCACACAUUUUGUCUCCAGAAUCAGUUGCUUUUAUUUGCUCGAGUGGUUAAACUUAGUUCUGUAAUUAAUGCAUUUACAAGAGGGACUAAGCAUGAGUAAACAGUAGGCAGAGAGAUUUUGCUAAAGGCUUGAAAGUAUUUAGACGAAAUAGUUUCAGCUGCAGUGUAACUGUAGAUUUAAUUAGGUUCUUUACAUGGCUGAAUGGUUAUAGCAGUACCUAUGACUUAUUCCUUCAGUGUCUAUAUGUUAAAAAAUGUAAAAGAAAGCAAAAACAUUACCCUUUUUUGGGUUUCUUAACUAUGCAAGAGUAAAUAAGUACAAAUGGAAUCAUAGGGCCUGCUAAUUCAAGGGGAUUUAAGGUUUCAUGGCCGUGACACUCUUUGCAUCAUGGGGAGAAGUAGAAAGAUGUUGUUGACAAUAAAAGGCUUUAAGAUUUUUAAAAAAUAUAUCUGGUUCUUUUAAAAUUUAUAACCACCUCUAGUUUUUCAAUGUAACGCCUGCACAAACCAUCAUUACUGAACUGGUAGGCGACAUGUAAACAAAACCCUGAAAUAUGGCGGUUGUCAUGAUAUAAUGCACAAGUAUUUGUAGAGGAGGCAUGUCUCUUUAAAUUAACCGUGCUCGUCAACUUAACAGCCCAGCUGCUGCCACGCUGUGUGAGUUUUACAUUUUUCAUCCCUCACCUUAAAAUCUUUCCCCUCUGCUUCUUUAUCUUUUCUCUCCUACUUCUUUUUCUUCUUCCUCUUUUACCUCUGAAAUUCUUACCAUGUUUCUAUAGCAACCAUGCUAAAUAUUAAAAGUCAAUUCAUCAGUCUUAUUUUAACAAAUGUUAUAUUUGAAGAAAAGGCAAAAAUAUGGCUUGAAUGAAUAUUUCUAAUGUUUUUUGUUACAUUUAAAGGCUGAGUGCUAAAUAACAACCAUUAUGUCAUUGUACCUAAGAGGUCAAAGGUCAUAUGUUCCUCAUCCUAUUCCAAUCAAUGUCUCUGAAACACUGUAAGGCAACACCAUCAUUUUUUCUAUAGUUAUUCCAAGUAACAAAAUGAAAGAAGAGGGAGACAAAAAGAUGAAUGAAGUAUUAUACAAAGAGGUAUUCGGGGAGGAUAGAGUGCUGACACAUACAGGAAAUAAAGCCUCUGAAAAGACGAAAGAGUGAUAGAGAUGGGAAGGGAAUAGAAACUUAAGUAUCAGGAGUAGUUGGAGUAAAAAACGAUGACAGAUAUUGAGAGGAAUUAUGCAAAAAUAGCAUUGGCAAUGCAUUUGUUAGACUAAUGAUGUACAAAACUUGGCAGUAAUGGGUGUAAUGGUGUUUUUUUAUGCCUCCAAAGCAGCUGACAGUAAAGCAGGAUAAUAAUCUAAGGUCUCUACAGACAUGUGUAGAUGGACUUUUUGUUUGACUUAAAAAAGGAGAGUUGUCUAAUUUGCAUUUCAUUUUAUCAAAAGUUGUUUUUUUUUUUUUAGAAAUGUAGAUUUUUAAAAGCAGCAAAGACAGACAGCUGUUGGGGGUAUAAAGGAAGGUGACACUGAUGGAGAAUAACUCAGGGCUUGUCUUAAGUUUGCCUUUGGCUUUGUUGACCACCUGCCGAGACCUCAUUUCACAUACUCUAGAUGACUGCCUUCUUGAUUUUCAGGAAUGAUUUUCUCUCAUCUUCACCUGCCACCGUUUUCUUUCUUAUGCACAUGAGGCCUCACACUGUUAUCUUGCAUAUACUCUUCCUAACACAUAAUCCUGCAAAUCCUGCUGUUGGUCUUUAUGUCAUUUUUCACCGACACAAAAGCACAAGACACACUAACUAUGCUUUGUUCAUCCUUAUUCACUGUGAGGUGUGCUUUGAAUGCAUGUCAUUGUUGAUGCGAACACCAAAGAAAAGAUAGUAAAGUGCGGAGGCGUUAGGGUUUGGCGAUAAACCGAAAAUUUACCAAUACCGAAAUUUACCACAAUAACUGACGUCAUUUUGCCCGGUAUAGUUGGUAUAGUCAGUGUCAAAAAAUAAAUAAAAGUUGGUUUUGGAUGUGUGUAGUUAGGCUAUGGUCUCAUGUCCCUUAAAGACGCUGUCCCAUUUCAGAGACGUGACUCCACCCCAUCCAGUCCGUAACAAAGAGGGAAAGACAGGUGAGAAGCUGGAGGAUGGUUCAAAAGUUAAUGUGGGAGGGGGUGAGCAACUUGUGGAGUAGUAAUCGUCCAUUUAUCGUUAUCGAGGUGAACUUUUAAAUAUGUCAUGAUAUUGAUUUGCGGCCAUAUUGCCCAGCCCUAGAAGGUGUGCUCAUUCACCACAGCUUAAUUUGGUGGCAGCUGAGCGGUCAUAGAGAAAAGAACUGACCACAACUUAGCCAAAUGUCUGUCACAAGUCCAAAAAUGGAUGAUGGGAGUAUCAUGGGAGAAGCUAAAUGAUCAAAAUUUUAUGUUUAAAAGGUCUGGAGGAUGUUUAGAGUAAAAGGAGCAGAUCAAAUGCAUCUAUUUUUGGAAAUCUUCCAGGUCCCCCUGAAAGAUUUCCAAACACUUCCACUUGACCAGAAAGUUGCACAUUCCUCAAUUCCUCUCCUUAAUGGACUUCUUGGGAGGAUAUCCUUAACAUUUACCCAAAUUCCAUUGGCUUCCCCUCAACAUAAAAGAGCUGCGGCCUGAUAUCAGCGUCCUUUCAAAUGGCUGAGCUCUCUCAAUACACUCCACUAUCACGUAGAGUGAGACCAGUCACCCUGCCGAGAAAUAUCAUCUUGGCUGCUUGUCUGUGAAAUCACUCUUUAAGCCACUGCCAAGAGCUUGUGACCGCCCAUGAGGGGGUUCAGUGAUUGUUGACCGGUAAAUUUCAGCCAAGCUUCCUCACCAGCAGUCUAUUGUUUUAUACUUUUAUUAUGACACAUGUGGAGUCAAACUCGCAUGGGUUUGUUUUGCAACCUUGACUCCUAAUUUCUGGUUAUCGCAAAAUGUUAUUUUUAGACAGCGUCAUUCAGGCUUUGGAAGUGCAAUAUUUUUUUAUCAGUGAGGUGCGUAUUUCUCAGUCGCAUCAUAUGGGUUAAUGCGUUUUUCUUUAAAGGUUGCAAAUUGGUUGAUUUUAUGUUUACUGUGCUAGAUUCUUGGGCUUUAAAUCUCAUCUACAAACACACAUUUCAGACUUUUGCUGAUAAUAAUACAACCUGUAGUGAUAUCUCUGGCUAUGAACAGAGAAAAGAGGCUGUGGAGUUGAGACUGUUUUUCUCCAUUAGCUGUGCAUCAAUAGCACUUCCAAUGCAUGCCAGAGCUAAUAAGUGACCAGCUGGUGCUUAGAAACUAAGCGCCUGAAGCCUUGUCAGGAAGGCUGCAGUCACAGUCUAAUCCCCGCUACAAAACAAAUUUUAGGUGACAGCAUGACAUACGCUUAAAAGAGAGAAGACCGUGGCACUCCGCUUCUGUCCUCGCUAUAAAUUAGCAGGAGGUUUGUCAGUGCCAGACUGCAAGACUGUUGACAAAGAAUGUGGGCACCCGCACUUCUGAGUUUUUCAUUGAAGUGGGGAAAAAGAGUCGCAGCAAGCCUGACAUUUCGAUUAUUUAACAAUGUAGUAUGUGAAACACAGCUUCUUGCAUCAGUCAAGAGAUUAUAGAGCAGGCCUCUUGUCAAGACACCUGAGCCAUUUGAUAUUGAUGUGCGCCAUCAGAUGGCUGAAAAGUUAGUGAAAAACCUCUGAAUGGGUUGCUGCAAGGAUGUUUAAAUGGUGGUAUAAGAUAUGCUUUUGCAGAUGGCAACACUUGGCAGGUUUCUAAAAUGAAUUAUUGAGUGCACAAUGUUUAUAGAAUUGAUUUAAAUGCUGAAAAUAAUUCUGAUUUAGAUUUGCUGUUCAACAAGCAGCCCUCUGCCCUAGACUAUAACGGCUUUAUUUUUCAUGUUAGGCAAUUGCUGGUAUGAAAAUUCCAAUUGCAUAUUUCCUCCAACAUAAUAUUUGCUCUGCCAGCUGUGAGAGGAAUGGUGAACAUUGUUUUUCUCAACAAAGUCAAUGUGUCAAGAUUAAAGCUGGUCUAACACAGCUUUGUGGCCCCCAAGCUGCUUUUCACUCGAACCUACACACCUGUCAAGUAAAGUCUACUUUUAGAUAAACAGAGAUAUUAGUGUCCUGAUUGGGGCUGGGCAAUAUGGCCUCAAAUGGGGUGGAGUGUGUUGGUAGCCCAAAGCCUACCUACACACAUCCAAAACCAACUUUUGUUUAUUUAUUUUUUUGACACCGAAUAUAUUGACAUGGGGAAAAUGACGUUGGUUAUUGUUGUAAAUUUCGGUAUCGGUAAAUUUUUGGUUUAUCGCCCAGCCCUAGUCCUGAUGUUUCAGGGCAGUAUGAAUCACUAUCCAUCAAAAUUUUUACCCAAAAUGUGUUAUCCUAUGGAAUAACUAUUUCAUGACUUUGUAAACAGCGUAUUAAUAAACUUUUAAAUUUGGCAUGUUAAAAAAAUGAAUCACACUUUCAUGAUUAUACAUUGUGAUUUGCAUAGUUGGGUAAAAUGGACAUCAAAAAUGAAAGAAAAAAAUUAAUGGAUGAUGAUUCCACUACAGCUGGGUGAUUGAUGAAUCCAUCAUCUUAUUUUCAUGUAUGGUUUAUGACAAUCUGUAAAUCCGUAAACUGAAAACUAAUUUCCUCAUUCAAUUUAGUUCCCACUAGGGCUGGGUGAUAAACCGAAAAUUUACCUACACCGAAAUUUAUGACAAUAACCAACAUCUUUUUGCCCAUGUCAAUAUAUUCGGUGUCAAAUAAUUAAACAAAUAAGUUGGUUUUGGAUGUUUGUAGGUAGGCUAUGGUCUCAUGUCCCUUUAAGACGCUGUCCUAUAUCAGAGACGUGACUCCACCCCAUCCAGUCUGUAACAUAGAGGGAAAGACAGGUGAGGAGAUGGAGGACGGUUCAAAAGCUGUAGCGGCUGAAGUAGACGAAAUGAAUGUGGGAGGGGAUGAGCAGCUUGUGGAGUAGUUAUCAUCUAUUUAUCGUUAUUGAGAUGAACUGCUCAAUAUAUUGUAAUAUUGAUUUGAGGCCAUAUCGCCCAGCCCUAGUUCCCACUACUUUUCAUAGCUUUUUCAAGCCAUAGGGACAAGAUAAUUUUCUUCAGACGAAUCAGUCUUAUCAUGGUGCUUUUUGGUCAUUGUUUCAUGGCUUGGUUUUGUAGAGCCUGAACUGAAGUAAACCAGUAUCCUUUUGUAAAGUUUUUCUGAUGUCUGUAGUUGCUAAAACCUGCAGCACACAACAAGGACAAAGUUGCUGCAUAUGAUGUUCUUUGAAACUGAUGGUUUGAGGCCAAAAACCCUCCCUGACCUCUCUUUGCUGACCUCAGAAAAGAUCCUAAAAAGUGCUGCCGGAAGUAUUUCGACUUUCCCUCAAAACCAGAAUCCCACACUAAUGAAAGUCUCUUCUUAUCUGUCCUCAUGAAUUUUAAUACAGACACACAGAUUACAUUUCUGUAGAUACUGCAAAGCCAGAGGAAAGAAAUUGCCAAGAUUCAGAUUGUAUGCCUGUGGAAGAACGCGUAUUGUUUUCUAUGAGUAUAUCAGCUUGCCCAGGGAUGGAUAAAAUAAAAUUAAACUGUCCCUCUGUAAAGGGAUAAGUGAAAAUAGUGAAUCUGGGAAUAUAUCGUUAUGCGAAGAGUCAAAAUAAAUUAUAAAUCUGCUGUCUCACUUUGAUCUUUUGGUUUUUUGAUGUGAUAAAUUGUUUCAUACUGUGAUCAGAGAAUUUCUCUCUCCUUGUUUUGCAGCGUUUUGUCAUUAACACUUGCACUUGGGAAGGAUGAGAAGGAUAACCCUCAGAUAGAUCAUUAAUUUAGAUGAUUACUUACAUCCAGAAUCAUCUCUAACCGUCUGUAAUGGUACAUCUUUUUUUUUAUUUUAUUAAGUCUCAUAAAAACUCUGUCAUUGCUGCACAUUUGAAUCAUUAAUUUUAUUUAAUCAUUUUAUUUAGCUGCAUCCUUUAGGAUUCUUUAUGAAAUUAAACCACCACACAGCCUUGACCAAAGUGUCCUCCAGUGUCACUGCUAACAACUGCAAACUUUCUCAAAUUCUCACAUGGCAUCAGACAUUACUCUUUGUGCCUAUGCUGAUGGGAGGGUACAUAUUUGUCUUGUUUAAUAUCCCCUGAAGAUCAGCUGCUCUCAAUUUUUCCCCUUUUUCGGUGUUAACAGUGUGAGGUCACCUUGUCCUUGAAGAUAAAAACAAGUUGCGCUCCGCUUCCAAGCUGCAGGAGUGUGUUGGGAGAUGCUUUGCUCUACAUUUGGAAACCAGCUCAGGGACCGGCAAGAGCAUCUUUACUAACACAAAUAUAUACGACAAGGGAAAUUACCGCCUCUGAACGUCUGCCAGACUGAACACACAUACAUGAGGACACCCGUUUGUUUUCUAUUUUGUGCAGACAUGGACAGACAUAAAACCACCUUCUGGCCCUCUCAUCUGUUCCCAGUUGGCUUUUUCCCUUUUCAUAUAUAUAACUGAGAAAAUAAAGCCGUUUUGUGACUUUGUUUCGACUUGUGGCAAUUCCUCCAAUUUCUGACGCUCAAUUACUGACCCCUGAGAGGGAGCGACAGAAAAUUGCACAGGAAUGCAAUGACCCCCCAUCUCGGAGGGGGUUCAACUCAUUUUCGAUAUUUUCUCCCCCUUUGGAGCUACGGCCUCCCCUGGAAAGGCCCAUAUGCCACAAUGGGAGUGCAAUGAUAGAAUUUACAACAAGUGUGUGUGUUGUGUGCCACCUCCGCUGCUCAGAACACCAUUUAGAUUACUUUCACCUCAUCAGCCCACACACACUUGGCUCAGGCUGAUGGGAGUUACUCCACAGAGGAUAGAUGUUUCCAUUGCACCACUAGCAUGCAGUAUGUUCCUUAGUGUGUGUGUGUGUUUUGUCUGUAUGUGGGUAGAUAAGGGGUAAGAAAAAAGGAAAGAGGGAAAAGGGACUCUGAGGGUUAUAGGGGGAGAAGGCAGUGACUCAGAGAAAUUGAGGGAACUCCAUAAACCCAGAAAAUUGUUUGUGGAUAUCGAAGUGCUAGUUUUUCACUACUGCAAACAUUUUCUCUUGCUGAGAUUAAAGACACCCAGAGAUGUGAUAAACCUCAUUACGGUUCAUUUUGAAUAAUCAAAUAAAGCUGCAGCCCCAACACUUUGAGGAAACAUUUAAAUGUUGAGAAGCAGAGCCGUCAGAUCAUUACUUUCUUCAAAAUAAACAUGUGAAAACUGAUUAUUUGAAAUGAAACCUAAAUACCAAAAUUACUACCUCGACUACGUUUGGCAAACGGCACUUCUUACCUUUCAAGUUAUACAGUGACAUGUUAUGGUGUCGCUAUAUUGAGCAGAAAUAUUAACCUUUUAUCCCCAUCUAAACAAAAAACUUAUUUAUUACAUAUUUAGCUUGCUUAAUUAGUCAUAAUCUUCAUUUUGACAGUAUUAUUUGACAUCAUAAAAUACCAGCUAACCACAUCAGCGAAACCACAACUUUACAUAAACUUGCGUGCCAUAUUAGCUAGAACUAGGACUGGGCGAUAUGGCCUCAAAUCAAUAUCAUGAUAUAUUGAAAAGUUCACCUCGAUAACGAUAAAUGGAUGAUAACUACUCCACAAGCUGCUCACCCCCUCUCAUAAUAACUUUUUCUACUUCAGCCGCUACAACUUUUGAACCAUCCUCCAUCUCCUCACCUGUCUUUCCCUCUUUGUUACAGACUGAAUGGGGUGGAGUCACAUGUCCGACAAAGGACAGUCUUAGAGGGACAUAACCCUUUAUUUAUUGUUUUGAUACCGAAUAUACUGAAAUUGGCAAAAUGAUGUUGGUUAUUGUCAUGAAUUUAGGUGUCGUUAAAUUUUCGGUUUAUCGCCCGGCCCUAGCUUCAACUUUUUCUGUUGUUUUUGCCAUUCAAAUAUCAUUACUGUUUUGGUCUAUGAUGACUAAUCCAUAGCCAGACAGCACUUUUUUUCUGUCAAACCUCUCAGGGCCUGAAUUUAGUUUCUUCCUUUACAUCUGAAAUUGGUGAAUAUUUGUUCAUCUCUGAUAAAUACUAGAUGGCUUCGUCAUGUAUGUUCGUAUAGUGGGGAUAACUCAGAUUUCCAGAUAACAUAGCUGCUUCACCACAACAAGGGCAAAUACAGGCAUUAAAAAGCAUUUUGUAUUGUGAGCAAUCCAAUAAUUUAAAUCGACUUCGUUUCUCAACACUCCUUAGCGUGCCCUUCCUUUUAAAACUCAAGGCUGUCUCAUCCAGCUGUAAUGGAAUGUCACCUGCAUACUUGUACAACUCUGCAAAGUGUACCUCUUAUCAUAGAGGCACGGCCGUGCAGGAAAAAUAAUUCCAGAAAACGUAUUAUCUUGGUAUUACAGUUAUCUCCUAAAAUUCAUUGCAGGUUUUUAUCAGUCCUAGGCAGGGCUAAAUGUGAAAGAAAUUGAUUAAUAAGAGGUCAACUAUUAACUGAUGUCUAGCUGACUAAUUCAGGUUGUUAAUUGAAUGAACUCGCUCAACAUUAUGUCUCACAUUACAAUGAAUCCCCCAUCUUCACUGUUUGACAAUAGAUGGCACUUUGGCCGACACUUCAGUUUUGACAAUAUGUAAUGACUUAUCAAUUAGUAAAUUAAUUUACAAAUCAAAAAUAAAGCAGUCAAUAAAGCAAUAGAAUUCUGAGCAGGACAAUUGUAUUUAUUAAAUAAUGCAAUUUUAUCAUAGCCAUUCACUGAAUACAACAACAUGCACAGCUGUGUAGAGUUUGUGCAUUUGGGGUUACUAUGGAAACAGUGAAAGAUGGUGGUCUCUCAGGAAGGAGACCUGCUAAUUAUGCAGAUAUGAAAGGCUUGUUUUAAAAAGUUUAAUAUUCACAAUUUUGCUAGACAUACUCAUGAAUAUUGCUUUCUAUUUCUGCCAACUUUGUCCUGUUAAGUGUUACUAAAUACUACUUACUACACUUAACAUAAAUGUAUAUGAAGUACAUAAAAGCACUUUUAUGUCUUUAAUACUUAAUCACGUGUUAAAGCACAACCUAAGCAGUAUUUUAAAAUAUUAAAGGAAUAAACAGUUUGUAAUAUUUGUUACUCACCCCACAUUCUUGACUGUAUGCUAAAACAUUUGCUAUAUGGUCACUCUACCUCAUAAGUGACAUCUCCUGUGUGCUUCUCUUGCUUAAAACGUAACUGUAUGAAAAUACAAGGUCAAGGCAAACAAGGAGCUAUUCUGUUUGAGACUAGACUGCAGGGCCACUGUUUCACACCCACACAAAAAUGCUAACUUCAGUCUGAGCACCAGUCCUCCAAGGUCAGGCAAAGCAAUUCAAGGCUGUCAAUCAUUUCACAUCCAUUGAAUAAAAGUAAUAUUUUCUGCGGUUGGCUCAUGCUGCUCUCACCUCUAAAUGACACUGAGCCCCUGGGUGCCUGUCGACAGGACUCACAGAAGAAAUGGUUGACAAUCAGAUAAAUUAGAUAUAUGAACAUUUUAAUGCAUCGCUGCCCUACCCCCUACUCCUAACAUGUACAGGCUAUCUAGGCAUUAGUGGAGGGUUUAGAGAUUGAGUUGCACAGGUCAAAAGAGAGGUUGACAGGCUGUCAAUGGGAGAGUGAGUUUGCAGGGGACUUGGUCUUCUUGUUUAUGGUCAGUUAUCUCAUCCUAGCAAGCAUCUUUUAGGUGGCAUUGAGCCACAGUUCUGUGUUUACAUUGUAUAAUCUUGCUACAUAAAUGCUUAUUUAGACCGAAUAAUUUUGGAACAUCUGCCUCCUUGCUGGGUGAUCCAUCACAAGAAUAGUACCCUCUGUUGACAGGCUGCAGUAUAGGUCAUAAAUCCCGCCUCCUCCAGCAAUCCCUAUGGAGCUGUGGACAAACUUUAGAAAUUUCUUAUACAGAAUAUAAUUUUUUCUCCCCCCUGGUUGCGAUGUUGACAUGUAGUUACAGUAAGACUGGUUUGUGCUCAAGUCCUCUUUUUUCUGUGAAGCUCAGUUUUUAAAAGUUAUCAGGGGGUUCAUGUUUUCUAUGAUUCACACUUGAUACAUUGGCGUAUUGGCGUACAAAGAUUUCAUAGCUCACCUGGGGGAUACGCUGUUUGAGCCGAGCGUCAUCACAGCGACUCCUCCGCCGAGUGCUUACAAUGCUACUGCGCAAGUAGUGGUUCCAGGAAGGUGGGAAAAAAACAUAAAUACAGAGGGCAAUUGGGCUUCAAAUUUGCAUAAUGACGGAAGGCGGAGCCAAAUUGGCCAUAGUAUACACAGUCUAUGGUUUGUAUUGAUGCAUCUCUCCUUUUUAUGAUGAUCCAGUCCACAUCAGUCUGUCAUGGCUACCAUCUGAUCCAGGACAGAUUCAUUUAAGUAUAAAAGAUCUUCUCUGGUAUGAUUUGAUACAGCACAACACAACGUUGUUUGAUUCAAAGUAUUCAAACCAUGUUACACAGCCGUGGCACCAAAUAACAGUCUUUGUCAUAACAUGAGCUAUAGCUGUUGUGAGAACCACUCACUUUGAGUAAGGGCUGGAAAAAGCGUUUAACCUCUGAAACCCACAGGGAGUAUAUGCAUCAUGUUCCAUCAGCACUGUUUGCUCCUGAAACAUGUGGAGAUGGAGUGUGUUUACCGUCACAAGAAUAUCUUUAUUGGUCAUCUGUGAUAAAUGCAUAUAUUUUUCACUGUUGGUGCAGAAAGAUCAACAGUAUUCACGAAAACAUGUCUCAUUUUAGGGAAUAUUGAAAUCAUUUCUUCCUCUGCAGAGCCAAGGGGAUUGUGCGAAAUGUACAGUCGUUUGCUCACACUAAGGCACACAUCACUCUGAGGAUUCAUUCACUGUAGGUGUAUUCAGUGAAAGAGGAACAUGAGGCCAUGUGUACGCUUUUGUGAAAAGCAUUAAGCCAAGGGAAAACAAUGUUUUCAAGCAAUAUCUAUGUUGAGAAUGUACUAUUGGAUGCUGAUCCAAGAUGUGUGCUGCCUUUCAUGAUAUGAAAGGGUCCAUAUUUACAGUGCCCUCCAAUAUUGUUGCUUUAUGCAUUGCAGUUCAAAAUUUCUCUGGAUGAAAGUCCCAGGAGUUGUUUUUCUAUCUGCCUGGACUCACUCCCUCGUGGGUCCUUCCCUAUUUGAAAACAAACUGUACAAGCAACAUUGUAGAUAUGACAUUGGAUUGUUAUCAUACUGAUAAGUGCUUUUUCAGCAUCAUUCCCAAUUGUGAGUUGGUCAUGAUAUUUUUUUAUUUGGCCUUGGACCCAGUCUCUGUCAGGAAAGUUGUACCCCCGUCCUCCUAACUUGUAUUCCUGUCAUAUGCUCUUUUGCCAUGCAGCCCUACAGCAACAACCAACCUCAUUAAGCGUACAACCAUCAAGAUAAGACUCAAUUACUGCUAGGCUUCGCAAUGCCAUCCAAGAUCAAUAUUGAACUGAAAUAAGGGGCGUUUAAUAGACUGAUGUGUUCGCUGCUGACAUAGGGUAGAUGAGUAAAAUGAGCAAACAGGUGUUGAUAGGACAUGCUCUUGAUAGGACAUUCUGCAGAGUAACCCGUCCAAGAGGAGUCAGCUGAGGGCAUGUCGACUUUGUUCAGCUGAUGUUAUAAAAUUAACUCCAUACGAAACUCCCUCUUUUGCUCAACAGUAAAUGACUUUGGACAGUUAGUGGGGUAGUUGGGUAGUUAUGUGAGUAAGUUCUUAGUUUUUCAGUUACUCUCAAAUCGAUAAGCUGUGAUGUAUUUGCCAACCCAUUUUAGUUUUAUAGAUUGUCUUGGUUGUGUUACUGGAUUUGCCCAACCCACUGGAGACCGACUGGAGACAGGACGAUUGAGCAGCGUCCACGUGGUUUGUUGAAUAUAAUAUUUGUGUUUGUCUUCUUGUGCUGAUAUCUGUAUUUUCACCCCGCCAAGCCGCGCUCUUUCAACUGCGCUCCGCUGAGCUGCGUCGUCCCCUGCCGAUUAGUCGAAUUUUGGUCAAAAAUUUCAGGGUUGAAGAAUGUUUGUUUAGAAAUUCUUGGUUUAUUACAGCCCUAGUUACCGGUGUUAACAAACAGAGAAUUUCAAGAAUGUUUUAUCUUCUGCCAAGCCAACAGACAUCCUUAGUUGUUUCUCGAUCACUGCCAUCCACCUGAAUGUUUCAUUUGAAUCAUACUUUCUCGGUGAAACUUUCUGGAUACUCAUAAAGUUAUUGGUUCAGUUUGUUUUAUUUUAUUUGUGUUUUGUUUUCAGGUGAAUCUCUGUUCAGUUAUGGAGUUAUGUUCUCUGGUUGUGUCUGGAAUGCUAUCUCAACAGAUGCAUCACACUCUGUUCUGUCUCCUCACAUAAUAUUCAUUUCAUAUUAAAACUUUGAACACACACACACACACACACACACACACACACACACACACACACCUCCUUUUUCACCCUGUUUUCUGUUUCUAUAGCUGUGUCUUCUCUAGUAAACCUCUGCUGCUGCAGUGAGCACAAAUAAGAUAUCAGAUAUAUUUAAAUUGGACUGUGCUUCAGGAAGCAUUAAAGAUGUAUAACUCUGGUCUUUUAAAUUCCUGCCUGUCCAUUAACUUCAGUCCAUUCUCGCUGCAUUAAACUCAUGCUGCCUGGACGUCUGUAUCAUCAGAUUAGUUCAAUUGAGGGUUAGAUACAUUUUAGAAAAUCAUCACAACAGAAAAGGCGAGGGUGAAGGAAUGACUUUGCUUCAACACAGGUCUAGUUUAUGGGGGUUAAAAAAAAGGCCUCCAAACUUUGCUAAUGUAAUUUUGCAUGAGUGUUUUUCGAUGUUAUGCAGUCUAUUUUAUAAGCUUAAAUGAAUGCACUAAAUGUGGCAGGUUACGUGGUUAAGAUAAGUCACCUUAUUUAGCUUUAAAUGCAGUUGUUACCAGAUGUCAAAAGAAUCUUAAAGUCACUUUUUCUGAAAAUAAUCCUCCUAAAAUGUGCUACUUGAAUCUUAUGUGAGCGACACUGGCUUAAAAAAAGGCUUAUCUUGCAGUUUUGGAAACACACUGCAGCAAAAUAAACCAAGUACUGCCUUUCUGACUGCUGUGGAUGUACAGCUUUAUCAGUGUGCUUGGUCCAAACGUUAUGUCUGUGUUCAUUAUUUUUCUUAUCCUUCAGAAUCCGGUAUUACAAAGUGCUACAUAGUUGAUUUCACGUUGGGUUAGGGCAUAUGAGAAAAGCCACAAACAUACUAUAUUUCCAGCUGUUUUCAUUAUGUGUGCCUUAGGGGUGGAUCUAGAGGGCUCUGGUGGUAGGUAGCAUUGUGUAGUGUAUAUUUUUUGUUCACAAAAUCUGCUGAAGCUUUAGGACUCACUAUUACACCAUGUGGGCAAAUGAUGUGAAAGAGGCCUCAAAGGGAAAGUAGACAUGAGAACUGGUGCAAAGUGUAUGCUAUGGUCAUCUGUUAUCGCUCACAAGGUUCAGUGUGUAUCAGUAGACGCAAGAGCAUGGUCACAGGGUGCUUUAUGGAGCACAAGUUGAAAGCACCAACACUCCUGGCUCAUCAGAAAAUAGUAGGGAGGCAUCCAUGAAACAGGACCUUGUGAUUAUUUAGGUUCCCAAGCUGUUAGCGAGAUGGCUUUUUAAUCGUUGCUAAUGGAGUUCCCACUAACAUCAGCCCCCAGUGGGAGUUUGAAGAGUGAGUUUGGUAUACUCCCUCCCCUUAUUCUCUCUGUUUUUUUUUUUUUUUAUCACUUAGUGGUAUCUGUCUUCACGUCCUUCAUUUUUUCUCCUCUCAUUCUUUUUGUUUUUUUUUUAAUUUUAUCUCUCUUCUACUUUGACAGCAAUUAUGUCCCUGAGAGGAGCGGUUGUUAUUUUUAACGUAGCAUGAGCUCUUGCCUUUUAAAAAAGGCAAACACAAAUACAAAGAUGCACUCGGCAGCAGCCAGACUCACCCCAGGGCAAUGUAUUACCUGCUUAAGUGGCUAUUUAGAGUGAAAGCAAAUGAGUCAGGAGAUGGCAGGUGAGCUAAACAUUUUAAGUCUGCAAAUACCAAGGACAUAACUUUUACAUGCUUUUUCUCCACUUUUUAUUGAAUAAAAGACAGACAGGGAGGUUUUUUCCUCAUAAUCUGUUUUCCCCCUAUACCUGCCACUUCAUCCUUUCACUUCUCCCAGAGUGCGCCAUCGUGAAAGGCCCCCUACUGUGGCAGUGUCUUUCCUGCCCUCCCACCAGCCCUUCCCUCUUUCACUCUUCCAUCCUGUCUUUCCACCUUUCCACUCUCUUGUGCUGACUCGAGGUAAAAGCUGAUAUGAGAUUUGAAAGGCCUACGUGUUGGGGAAGCGCGCUGCAUUGUAAGCAGUCCCCGACGCCCAGAUCUUCCCUGCUGUGCUCCCAACUUGAGCCGUCAGGCAGGCAGGCAGUAUAUGGGUAAAACCAUGUUGGAAGUAGGAAACUUGCCCUGUCAGGAAAAGUAUAAAAGCAUGAAAGUGAAAUGUCUGAAGUCUGAAAGAGCAGGAAAAGAGAGUUAAUGUGCAAACGAAUGACAUACCACUUUAGAGCUCCUCAAGAGCUGACAAAACUCCAAACAUCGAACUAGAUUCUUUUGUAAGAGGAAAGAGAAGCAAAUGGUUGAUGAAUCUGAAAAGAACUUUUUUUCUAACAUAUCAGAAGAUUGUAACACUCAGUGCCGCCAAAUUCUCAGUCACUCAGCCAGUGUGGUAACCUGGGCUAACAUUAGAAUUAGCUAGUUUACUUGAGGUGAAAACGUAGACAUCCUUGUUGAUCUUCCGGACGUUAAGUUGGCUGAGUGGUCUGUCACACAACUUAAUCCAAAGCAGACAUUUACUUCGGUCUUUCUUUGGUUUUGGAAGUGGAAUGAAAAACACCACACUGCCCGUCCUGUCGGGAUACCUUGUGUUGGUAUUACAUCUACCCCAUGCACACCUUUUUACCAUGCUUCUUUCUGUUAUAUUAAAAUUAACGCCAUAAAACAGAUGAAAAAUAACAACUACUAAUGCUUCUCUAUGGAGCUGAAAGCUACAGAUGUCGGAGUUCCAGUCCCAGUGUAACUGAUACCAAACUGCCAUUGGCCCAUCUGUGUUCAAGGGGUGGGACUUAGCGAUCGGUCAAUUAAAGGUGACUUGAUCGAUACUUUCCAGCAUACCUCCACAGGGCAAACCCAACCUCCAGUGCUCUGCCACUGACACAGCCAAGCCAAGUAUUUCCUUUUCUUAUGCCUCAUUAGCGCAUUGUCCCAUAAACCCAUGAGUCCUACUGUGCCACGGACCACAAUAACGAAUCUGGAUUUAAGCUAGUGCUCAUUAUUCUGAUUCUGAUCAUUUCCCCUAUGAUUGCUUGUGCUCCCCACAGGCCCUCAUUUCCAAUGCUUUAGCUUAUCCUUAACAGUCAGAUUGAGCUACAGCAACUGUUCAGGAGAACACAAUCAUACAAUACCCUGUCAAUACCCUAGCUGCUUUCUGAUGGUUCGGAUUCUGUGAGGGUAUAGCAGGAGAGAGGUAAAACAAUUAGUAGCCUAAGGGUGGUAAGGGUGGCAAUGAACAUUGCUAGAUGUCAUAUGCUGAUUUCUAAAUGCUCAUGCAACCUCAGGAGAAUUAUUCCUAUGAGUAUGGGUAACAUUCAUAGACAGUUUUUCCUGUCAUGUGUUUCAUCAUUGAAAUUUUCCCCAGUCUCAUGAACCUUAUAUUGUGUAACAUCUCUCAAACUGAGUGUCCUGCCAUACCAGUACAAUCUGUCUUUUUGUCUUUAGCUCACUGAAAUUCUAGAAAAGCCUUUUGUCAAGGUCUGCUCUUGAUUAGGGCUGCAGCUAUCGAUUAUUUUAGUAAUCGAGUACUCUAUCGAUUAAUCUGUCGAUUAAUCGAGUAAUCGGAUAAGAAAUGUUUUGCUCUCACUGUAAUACUUUGCAUUGAAUCACGUUUGCCUCAUUAAAAACCAUCAGUAACACACAAAACUGAAAUAGGCCAGGUCUUUCAAAUGAAUAUUUUUACUGCAUAAAUCAGGAACCAAAAGUUUUACAUUUUACCAUGUAGUUCACAUGAAACUACUGAAGGCAAGGUCUGCAGAUGGUCUUUUAAUUGCUAUGGUAAUGAUCUUUGCAGUUUUCACUAAAAAACGCACUUGGAGAUUGCUGGAUUGUUUUUCAGAGCACUUUGCACCACCAAGUUUAUAGUGUGACCUGCACAUCGCACUGAUGCCCAUCCAUGCUUUUCGGUCAAAAUCUUAACCGCUGCGACAAUGUUGGCACCGUUGUCAUGGACAACAGCUUUGAUCUUCUUCGGUGGAAUGUCAAAUUUGGCAAUGACGUCCUCAAGCCACUCUGCAAUAUUUGCAGCUGUGUGUCUCUCUUCCAGAUGCAUUGUUGUCAGGCUAUGGGACUUCACUUCCCAAUCCUCUCCAAGAAAGUGACCCGUCACCCCUAGAUAAGCCUCUGUAGCAACACUGGUCCAAAUGUCAGCUGUGAGAGCAAUGCUGUCACACUUUUUAAGAAUGUUCGUCAACUUGGCUUUGAUUUCUUCAUACUUCUUCUCCAUCAAUUUUGUAAAGUAGGUUCUUGAGGGAAGUGUGUACUUGGGAUUGAAUCUUCUGAAAUCCCUCAUCCUCCACCAUGGAAAGCGGGCGCAUGUCUGAGACAAUCAUGUUUAGAAUACUGUCGGUGAACUCAGCUGCUUGCUCAGUUGAACACGGUGGAGGUCGCCGCACAAAGCUGUCCAGAGUUUGGUUCUUUGAAGAACUGAAAAAGAGUCCAAUUGAUAUUGAUAUUAACAUAUGUCUAAUGGUGUAAACAUUUUAUAACUUUUUUUUAGUUUGUUCUGUUUAUAUUGUUUAUGAAGUUCUAUUUUUUCUCUGGAUCAUUAUCUUGUUUUUUUAGUAAAGUUUUGAGUUUGGUUAUUUUAUUUGGCUUUUACUUAUCUUGCGAAAUUACUAAAAAAAAUAAUAUCAUACUCAGAUACUACAAUAAGUCAGCUAGUUAAUGCACAUUAAUCCAAUAGUGUAAAUAGUUUUGAACUUUAUAGGUUUGUUCUAUUUAUAUUGUUUCUUAAGUUCUCUUUGUUUUCUCUGGGCCAUAUCUUGCUUUUUAGUAAGUUUUUUUUAGUUUGGUUAUUUUUGUAUUAAUUGUAUUCAUAUUAAUUGAGUUCAUUCUUAUGUCUAUUCACAGCCUUUGCUGCUAAGAAAACGCUAAUUUCCAUACUGCAGAUCUAAUUCAUCUUGUUUAAUUUCUAAAAAAUAUAUAUACACUUAUAUACUAAGAUAAUUCAACUAGCCCAUGCACAUUUAUUUGAUGGUGGAAAUAUUUUUUUAACUUUUAGUUAGUUCUGUUUAUAUUGUUCUUGCAGUUCUCUUUUUAUCAGAGUCAUAUCUAGUUUUUUUUUUUUAGCAAGCCUUUAGUUUUGGUUAUUUUUAUAUUAUUAUUAUUAUUAUUAUUAUUAUUAUUAUUACUAAUAGUAGUAGUAGAAGUAGUAGUAUUUGUAUUCAUAGUUAUCUCUCUUUACUGUAUUUAUGCCUUUACUGCUGUCAUAAUGUUUAUUUCCAGGCUUUGGAUCUAAUUUUACUUGUUUAAUUAAUAGGCUGAAAUAAUAUAAUUCUUGGAUACUAACAUAAUUUGACAAGCAAAUGUAUAUUUAUUCAAUAUAUAAAAGUGUUACAUUUUUAUUUACACUGUGAAGCAGCCUUUAGCCAGCGCCAUAAAUUAAAUUACAUUAUGUACUGGACUUAAUCUUGAUUAUUGAUCACAUUGAUUUGUUUUAACUGCAACUGCUUAGUAUCGUGAACAUUACCUUGUUGUGGCCAGUCCGCUCUGCGGACUUAAUGCAUGGACCGGGUGUUUUCUUUUAAGGUGCUGCAGCAUUGACGACGUGCUGUUGUGAAACGCCAACUCCGCCUUACAGUGAACGCACUGCACGGCGUUUUCUUUCCUUUUCAGUGUGUAAUGGUCCCACACUUUAGACACUUUCUGCCGUUUCCUCUGCGUGUCAUCUCUUUCUUCCUCUCUCUGUCUGUCCUCGUUUCCCUCCAUGAUUGAACCAAACGCGCGGCAGCGGAAGGAGCGGAAAGAGCAUGCUGCUGCGCAACAGAAAUAACCGUCCGUGUCAAACACCGUGCGCUGCACAUGGUUCCGGAUUUAAACGAUUCCUCGAGGCAUAUAAUUUGCCUCGAGGAAUUUUAUUAAUCGAGUUACUCGAGUAAUCGUUUCAGCCCUACUCUUGAUGCAUCAGGCAUUAAACAAGCAUCAUCAUAUUUUUUGUUGCUACAUUUUUGAAGUUGCUGUCGUAGAAUACAAAUUGUACCAAAAAAAGUGCAAUGUCCACUUUAAGUGUUUAAUGUUAAAAGUGUUCUCACAUUUCAGACUUGUUUGAUGUCACUAGUUUUCUCUAUAACCUACCACUUAAACUUGUAGUUAAGUAUCUUAAUUGACUAUGCCAACUGGUAAGUGCCAUCCAAGAACAAUGAUUGUGGGGUUCUCAAAACAUGAGUCAAAUACAGCGAUAGGAAUUUUAAUAUUUCCCCCAUGUCCCCCAUCCCUACUUGUGACAUUUUUUUACUCUGAAGUUGUUUUGAUCUGAGCAGUCGGAUCAGUUGCUGCAAAUCAGAUCAAGAACAAAGGAUUUCUCGCCAGGGGUUAUUUUUAUGCUGCAAUAAUACUACUGCUGUGUUACUCACACACCCCAUCUGAGUUCUGAGGAAUCUCUAUUCUAGCCGUCUGUGAGCUCAGUGUUCAAUUCAGCCGGGGUUGCAAAAUGGCAGCAGUGGGAACAUACUAUUAAAGAUCAAGAACACCUUUUUCCCCUUCCUUUCUUUUUCAAGUGGUCAGUAAUGGAUGCCAUUCCAUCCCUAAUUACCCCCAGCAGUACUUUUAAUAUUUCAGAGCAUUAUUCAAGUUUUACAAGGUUAUCUAUUUUAAUAAUGUGACCAAAUGUCUAUUGGUAGCUGUAUUGAAUAUCCUCUAGGAAUCUAUUUGAUGUGCGCUCAGAGGCCAUAUCUGUUACAUCAUCUUGGCUGCUGUAGCGAGAUAUUAGAAAUCCAUACACUCAGAAUAUGAUAUAUGACUAAACCACAGUGGAAUUGACUGGGCUUUGGUGUAUAGCUGCACAUUUUCUUUUCUAGAGGGUGGAGGAAAAGAAAUAAAAAAAAAAUCACAGGAAGAUUUGAAAAAUAAAGAAUAAUUUGCACAUCCUGCAUAGUGGGAAAGGUCAGACCCACAACGCAGCUUAUGAAAGAGGCUUUUUCUCUUGUUGAGGACAGAUCGCAUGUAUUUGUGGGCUGAAUGUGGCAAUUAAGUGGCCCAGGUGGCUGCGAUAUGGCAUAGCUGAUGGUACUUUGCUAUUUCCUUCACCACACUUUCACAGUUGAAGGAAAUUCUCAUAUUCCUAACGUCUAUCGUGAAGGCAAAUUCCCCAGAGAAGAACACAUAGCUUAGGUCCAAGUGUUGACGUGACACUCAGUGGAAAUCUAUGCUAAGUGGGAUGUAAAGACAACAUUUAAAGCUCAAACUUCAGUCCCCUCAUUGUGUCACUGUUUCCUUUUUUCAUUCUUUUUGUUUUUGUAAACUUAUCUGGAUGUUUUUGUCCUGGUCAUUGGGUGUGAAACCCCAUUAUUGACCUAAAUGUUACAGAGACAGUAAGAGAGUACUGAAAAAAGGAGUGAUGAGAAAAAAUAAUGAGAAGAGGUUGCUUUUUUCUAGACCUUUUGAGCAAAAAGAGACACACUCAACACAGAUCCUGUGGGCUUUAGACUAAAUUCAGAUAAAAUUAGUGAACAGAGUGAUCUGUAAGCUUUUAUGUGCAGUCUUAGCACCAACUAAAUAGCAACUCUUUGCAUCCCUUGCUUGCAGUUACAAAUUCGAGGGACGAGUGUUUUUGAUGGUAGGUGUAUGAAGAUUUAUGUGUGAGCAAGAUCCUUUGGCCUUUUUAAUGUACAUUUGCAGUCUUUUUCUCUUUUGAUUUAAAUUGUGGAUGGGAUCUAGUCGACACACCCUAUCUGUGGUUAGAAAUACACAUGUUGGAGUAGGGCUCGGCAAAAUCCCAGAAAAACAAGUGCUCCUAAAUAGCUGUGCCAGUCUUGGAUGCAGGCGUGUGCACAUUAUCUGCUUAUCGUUUGAGAAUGUGUGAAUAUGAAAUACGCUGUCUUUUUCUUUCACCACAAACUAUCUCAGUGUGUAAGUAGGCAGUUUGCGAAAACUGAGUAAAACAGUGUGUAAGUGGAUAACUUCACUGUUUUACUGCCCAUCCCAAGACAGACAUUUGCCGAAGCUGUCCAGUAACGGCUGCAUAUGCUGUCCUCAGCUGUUUCCCCUGCUGUGCCAGGUGUGCGGGCAGCAGGCACUUCUACAAGGACACCCAACUGUGUGGAAAGUCUGCACUCAAGGCAAAGCUGAGGGACAGAGCUGGCAUAAAUCUUCUGAUAAUUAUGCUGUAAACAGAGGAUGGAACAAUAAAGCUUUGUUGUGAUGUGUGCUGCAACAGACAGAGUAGGAGGCCCAAUCUCAGAUAAAUCAUCUCCUAUUUGGUCAUUGGCAGCUCUCUUUACACUCUUCCUUUCACUACAUAUGGAAGUGAUUGAAAGCUGGUGAUGUUUGCUGCCAAGUGACUGAUUGUUCCACUGGGGCAUCUAUUAGCUGUCCAUACUGACUAACCAUCUGGUGACAAAGAGAAUAUUGCUGUGUGGAAAGUAACCCAUCAUUCAAGAAAAUGUCAACAUGUGACAUUCAACCAAACCCCAAAAUGCAGUGGCCAUACAAAUGAUACCCUAUCCCAUUGGGUCCCAUUAGUUGUCCCAGGGUGUGGAGGGCAGACUUCAAACUGGAUUACAUCAAAACUUGUGGUGGAGUUUAUGAUGUGUUUGACAAGUGAACUGCUCUGCACUGAGACAACAAAGCAGUACAUCAGAGCUCUCCUCUGGUUGUCUCCUGUGAUGUAUGAGAGGCUUUGUUGUGGGCCUUGCCGUAUAGUGCAUGCUAUAAUAUUCAUGGGAGUGGAGUCAGUCUGGAUCAUUUAUAGCUGGAAUGACAAGACAGGAUUUUAGCAGCCUGUCUUCAUCUUCAUUUUCAACAGAUUAUUGACACUAAUAGUUUUCAACAGUUGCAAUUCAGAGGCGUGUAUUGAUAAAGUUGAAAUGCUUGAUCUUUGGGAUGUUCUGUAGGGGUGUUCCAAACAAGAUUGAUUCAUCUGUGGCUACAUUUGUAAAAAAUAAACUAUUUAUUAACUUAGUUCCCCUAAAACUACACUCAAUAAGUAAAUAAGGUUUUUUGAACAUUUGACUUGUAUUUUUCAAAGACACAAAGUCUUUUAUUUUAUGACUGUAUGACUGUUAUGUAAACAUUUGCACUUUGACUUACUUGACUUAAACUGGGGAGUUUGUAGACAGUCUCCAGGAUGGUCCUCUGUGUGACGGACACGACCGGAGGAGCCUUCUCUGUUUCGGGAUGAAAGAGUACAAGGUGCUGCCUCGUGUUUGUGGUGCUGCUGAGGUACUCUUGCAAAUCACGUAGGUCCUGUCUGUCGUCUUGUUUGCUGUCUCAUAAAAUUUAGAGUACUUCCACACGGUUGCAGUCAACCCUGGUGGCGAGAGAAUCGGACGCUCUUUGGAGGCUGCUGAAGCUUUGGCCAUUUUGCAAAGAAACUAACGUGCUCUGUUUGAUGUGGUUCCCCUCACUAAACAGUCUGGGCGGCAUGCACGUCAAGAUUCCGGUUAGGUGUUUUUUUGUUCAGGCCUUGCGGCGAAGCAUCAACGUUAUCAUUUAUUUAUUUUUUUAAAGCAUUGAUGUUAAUGAAUUAAUGCUGAAUCAUCACGUAAAGCAUUGUGAUUCAUCGCCACAUCGAUGAAUUGCACCCACCUCUAAUAUUGAUAGAAACUCAAUAUUAAAAACUUGCCAAAACGGUGGUUUAGUGCAUCCCUAUCUAUAAGCUGAAUAAAAACAGGCUAUCUUUAUCUUCUCUGCCUGAGUCACACUAGGAUGAAUUCACUGUUUUUUCUGCUAACUUCAGCUUUUUUCCUAAAGUGUAUAAAAUUCACACAUCCCGCUGAGAAACCUCAGUAGUAAUCUAAUAUUUACCUGAGCACCAGAUAGAACUAUCUUAAGACUUUCCAGAGAAACUAAUCAUCUUUUCAUUCUCUGUGCUCUCUUGCUUUAAGGCAGGGGGCAAUGCUGGUAGAGCUCUUUCCACGCUGACCUGUUUUCAUAUCUCUUCUUGCACCAAGGGCGAUAAAGGCAUAAAAUGGGUUCAGCCGCGGUGUGAUACAACCCCAGCUCUGAGAUCACCACUUGUGCGUCUGUGUUUGUUUGAGGUUGUGAAACACUGCAGGCUCUUUUGCUGAUUAUCUCUCUAAGAUUGUGUCUCUUUAUUUUUCUGCCAUGCCUUCUGAAGUGGCCAGAGUUGUUUCUUGGCAUCUGCUGGAAAUAAUGCAGGAACCUUGUGUUCUGUGUUUGUGUUGCUCAGAUUAUCUGACACAUCUGUGACAAAUGGACAUUCCUGGAUGAGAUAAUGCUUUAGUUUGAUCUGGUCAAGGCUGAGUCUUUUACCGGUGUGUGAUGUUGUAAACACACAAAUCGGUGAUCAUUUUUUUUCUCCGGUGAACAUUUUGAUGUGCUUACACAGUCCUUUGAAUACAGGUGUCUUUCAUGCUUGCAGCUGGAUUCAAACUGAGGCCAUGGGAGAAAAUGUUUAUGGCAAUCUAAUCUGCAAAGCAUAAUCCAGUUUAGAAACCUGAACACAUCAAUGCUAUUUUAACACUACAAAUACUGCUUUUAUUUAACUUUGUCAAUCUGGCUGUUUCAUGUCACUUGUAGACCACAAUAAUUGGUUUUUACCACUCUGAGAACAUAUGUUUCUGCCCACUCAUGAUGGACUGCUUCAGAAACACUCUAAAACACCACAGCCUGCAGCCUGAUGCCCACAGAGCAGGGUUAAAAAAAUUACUCACAAACAAAAGACACAAGUACUCGCUCUUGUUCUGCACUUAAACAUCACUGUCCUACGAACUACAACCUGACUCAAAGAGCCCUCUGAAGUAUCAGCCUUCGAAUGCACAAACUCAGUUGCUCCAUCAUCUCCUUCUGUGGUUCUGGCUGUAAGCCCGUAUUUCUCACAGUUGUCACUCCAGGUGGUUCCCGGCUCUGCUUUUGAAAGAUAAUAACACUUGUUUGCCCUUUUCCAUGACUACACAGGAAAAUGAAUCAUAUUUUAAAUGCAAAAAUUAUCAACAUAAAUCCUAGUGUUGUUCUUUUCUGCACAGUGGAGUUGGGUACUCUGUGCGGCUCAAGCUGUUCUUUUCUUAUAGAUUCAGAGCCUGCUCAUGUUCCACUCAUUCCUGUUUAUAUAACUACACAUGCUUGUGAUCUGCUGUGCUUUAUACGUCUUGCGUACCUUGAUGCAUGUAGGUUUUAGGAAGUGCUCUAGAAUGUGUGGUGAAAAACAAGAAUGUGACUUUCCAUUCUUGUACAAAUUUUAUGAAAGUGUCAUCCAGUAACCCACUAAACGUCCUGCUUUUGAACUUAAACUACUGCACAGUCAACAACAGACCUAAAACCAAACCCUUGGCCAGCAGAGCUUGAGUUGAAAUACUUGAACAAGGUAGAAGGUGUAAAUAUAAAGUAUGACAUAAAGUAGAAUGUGUAAAUAUAAAGCACCACACUGUUGUUGUUGCAUGAGAGCAAGUAACCACAAAAGUAUGGCGGCUCUAAGGUGCAAAACAUAACGACAAAUCAGAAAACACAACACAAAAAACGGCAUAUCAGAAAACAUGACAGCAAACAGAAAACACAACACAAAAAGGGAAAACAACAGCAAAUCAGGAAACACAACAGCAAAUCAGGAAACACAAUAACAAAUAAAAUAAAACAAAAAAGAGAGAACACAAUGGCUAAUCUCAUUGUAUUUUAUGUUUUUAUGUGUUUUCCGAUUUGCCGUUUUGUUUUGCACCUUAGGGCCACCUCACAAAACUCAUGUUAUUAAUUAUUAAAUAUAUAUAUAUAUAUAUAUAUAUCUAAAUAACCAGCACUACAGUGACGGAUGUAAAUGCACAUGAAGUACUCUUUGCAGUGGGUAAGUUAAAGGCAGAUUAAAUCAGUAGAUUGUAUCAUUAUAGAGUUGUAUACUUUAAAUUGCAAAAGAAAGUGUUUAUUAAUGUACUCAGGCCUGACAGCUGAGGUUUUUCACCUCCCGCUCAAGACUAGGAGUUCAUUUAUUCUUAGAAGUGUCAGAAACAAAUUCCCUUCUUCUCUCUGUGUAAUAAGAGGAAUCUGAGCAUUUCUACCAUUUUUGAGUCACUGAAGUGAAGCUAAUGGGCUCCAUGCAAAUUAAAGUUGGCAUUUGGCUCUACUCAAUGGACCUGAAAGGUGAGAUGAGGGGGUCAAGAGGAGUGACAGCCAUUAACAUGACUCAUAUGAAGACCACAUCCAUAUCCAUGUUCUUUGCUCCUUUGGCCUUGGGGGUGGGGACAGAAAUUAGAGGGAACAAAAGGGUCAAGAGGAGUUGCAGAGGGAAAGAAAUCUGGGGUUACAUGAGGAGGAAAUGGGAGACAGAAUGAGAGGGAGCUGGAGGGAAAAUGACCAAAGGAGAAGGAGGGCAUUAACGCAGGAAGGAGCAAAGAGAGAAGAAGGGGAGGCGUUACUCUGUCCUUGCUAUUAGUCACUCCGUCACAGCUCCCUGGCUUUAUGGAGAGUUUCCUUUCAUGGCGCUGCUUUUUAAUUGACAUUAAAACGCACUGACCAGUGUGACAGUCCUCCUCCUCUCCCUCACUGUAUUCCCGACCUCCCCCCCUUCACUCUAUCUCUCAAACUCUGCGCCUGACUGACAUGGACUGUCAUUUUCAUACAGUGAGGCGAGACAGAAAAUGUCACCCUUACCUCACAUCUCAGCAGCUAUAGUGAGGACCAGCAGUCUGCUACUGUCGGAACAAUUUUUAUGCAUAAAAUUCUCGUGUCGUAUCCCAUAUAUCUGUAAAUACGUAAAUGUGUGUGUGUGUGUCAUAUUUCAUGGCCUUGUCGUGUGUAGAGGAAAGUGUAUCUAUAUAAAGAUAGACAGUACAGCUUUGAUGUAGGACAGACCUAGCCGGCUCCCAACAGGUGCAGCAGAGCUUCAGAUGUUGUAAAGGUGAGGAGAUGGAGAGUAAUGCCUUUAAGGUCAAAGGAAAUCAGAUCAAUCAGUCAGACAAUGCUUACUGAUUGAGGACAAAUAACAUCUAUUUUUCCUGUCUUCUAAAGCACUUUUAAAAAGUUCUCCACGAUUAAAGUUUAUUAUAUAUUAUUAUUUUUGUGUGGAAGUGUAUGUUCUCAUAAAUUCCCUACUUUUAAAAUCAGUGACAUGCAAUGACUGUUUUCCAUCUCUGUAGAUAUAGCUAACAUAUAGCCCAGAGUAAAAGUGUUUCACAGUGUAAGGUUUGUUAAGAUGUGGUAAGGUACAAAUGGUGAGAAGGGUGUCUGGGGAUCUUCUGCAGGAAAUUUGAGGCGUAACAUACUAAAUUUCCGAGUACUCUGGUAUAAAAUAGAAUAAAUAUUUAACAGUCUAAAAUGACGACAACAUUUUCCAAUGAUAUUGAAAAAUUAUGAUCUCUGCGUGAGAUACAUAAUGUAACCUACAUUUUUGUUUCUACCUAUCGACUCCAAAUGGUCUGAAACUCUGUGUGAGAUGGAUGAACAGCUGUCUGACAAAUAGUCCUUUGCAUUUUGAAAGUGCAUUAUUGAUCCAUUGUGUCUUUAUUAGGAGUAGAGGGACACUGCAAUGCAAUUUAUGUCUCAGUCAGUACAAGUAAAGCUGAUUAUUUCAGUGAUGUCUAAGUUGUUUGAGUUUCCUCAGAUCUGCUUGUUUUGUUGGAGUCAUCUGGAGAUUUGUUGAGUGUUUUGGUGCAAAAACCUGUGUAGAUGAUUUAACUGAACUGAGUUGAUGCAAUUCUACAUUGAUCCAAUACUGAAUAAAUCUGAUGAUACUGUGCAGAGUUUUGCCUCAGUGCUGAAAUGAAAUCAUUUAUAAGACAGCAGAGAGCAUGUUUCACAUGUCAUCAGUGCACCACGAAGUACCUGAGGUACAAAGCCUUUCUGAGCUGACAGUCCAAUCUUUGCAUGUUUUAGAAUUAACAAGACUUUGACAAUUUACCAAGUUCCUCUCAAUGGCAGUGUCUACUGUGACCUUGAGGCAAUGUGUUUUGGGUUGUACGCCCACCUGUCUCCAAGCUCUUGUGAAUGUUUCUAAAACACAGGAUGGGGCUGGGCGAUAUGGCCUCAAAUCAACAUCACCAUAUAUUGUUCACCUUGAUAACGAAAAAUAGUCAAUAACUACUCCGCAAGCUGCUUACCCCCUCCCAUAUUAACUUCAUCUACUUCAGCCGCUACAACUUUUGAACCGUCCUCCAUCUCCUCACCUGUCUUUCCUCUUUGUUACGGACUGGAUGGGGUGGAGUCACAUCUCUGACGUAGGAUGGCGUCUUAAAGGGACAUGAGACUAUAGCCUACCUACACACAUCCAAAAUCAACUUUUGUUUAUAAAUUUUUUUGACACAGAAUACACUGACAUGGGCAAAAUGAUGUCGGAUAUAGUCAUAAAUUUCGGUAUUAGCAAAGUUUCGAUUUAUGGCCCAGCCCUAGGUUUAGCAGUAGGUGAGUUGCAGCUGGUAAUCAAAGUUCUUGUGCUUUUUAACAUGUUUGAACCUGCAUCUCUAUUUAAAAAUAUGGUGUACUGACACAAGGUUUGUUGCAAAGUAAAAAUAGUAGUUUGAGCAGAGAGCAGCCACACCUUAGCAUUUACCCGCCAAUUUUUUUCUGCUCUGCUUCUUCAGAUCAAUGAAAUGAUGGACUGCUGAGAGAAAGGCUGGGUUCAUCUGCCUUUUAGAAAACAUGAGUGUCUUUGUGUAAGUGUGUGCAUCUCUGUGUGAGUUGAUGGAAAGGUAUUCAAAUGCUGUUUCAAAAUGAUGCACCUCGACUCAUCUGUGCUUGUGUACUUGCCCAUGCAGGGCUACAUGAAUGCCUGGGUCCCAAUCUGUGCUUGUUUGUGUGAGUCAUGUUUUUUCAGUUUGAGUUUGGGUUAAGUGUGUUUUGCUAUAUUUUUCGAGGAGACGGGAGGUGAUCAGUAUCCUCACACACAAAAUACACAAAUCAAUAGUGGCAUGAACCCCGGAGCAAAUCAGAAGAUACGCCUGUUAGUGAGCAGUUGGUAGAGGUCGGCUGAAGUUACUUGAUGGAUGGUUUUAAAUAACAGAGCAAAAGAUGAUGGAGAGAGUGAAGGGCAGCUAUUGGAGACAGAUACGAGAGGAGAGAUGGAUAAAUAUAACGUCAUGGAGAAGGAAACUUGGGUGUGUAGAUGUCAUACUGUGCAGCUAGCUCGGCAAAGCCAUUUCAAGGACACACUCCUCCUCCUAGUCCUCUGAUGUUUCUGGGUCUGGGGUUCAGGAGUUCAUAUCCUUCAUGAGUACUGCCCUGCUCUGCUUUGCCUGCCCCACUUUGACCACUGUCAGAGUGCUCCGAUGGCCUGAAAAGCAACGUUUUCCCUUUAAUCCAUCAACAAACACACACAGCUACAAGAUAGAUGCAUUCACACCUACAAACAGAAAUAUAUGACAGAACUUAAGACAGAAAAAGAAAUGCCAUUUUGGUCGACAGAGGUACCUCAUUUAAACUUCUUACCUCACUUCCCCAGAUUUCCUCAUCCCAUGAUGCAGCUGAUUCUGCUGCAGUCUUAUCCAGAGAGCAGAGACAGAUUAUGCCAAUUAGCUCCCCUCACUCUCAAUAAUGAUGAUGGUGGCCAUGGCUGAGCAUUAAUUAAGAUAACUUUCUCUGCAGCUGUGCCCCACAACACAUUUAUGAGUCGAAUAUGACUAAUGCAUGGCUGAGAGCGUGUCCAAGAAGACCAUGAUAAAAGGAAAGAGACUUUUACCUGAAACAAUUACUCUAGACUUCCCGAACUUCCCCUUUUGUUUAGUUUCUAUUCAUUAUUGUUGUUGAAAAGUAAUUUAAUGUCACCUGCUUGAAACAAUACACAGCCUAACAAAUACUAAUUAUUAUUUAUAUGUUAAAUUUUGCAUUGUAUCUAGGGAUAUAGUAUAUGGUAUCUAUGGUUAUUUGGCUGAGGACAAAAAAGAGAAUGAGCUAAGGCUGGGCGAUAAUUUACCGAUACUGAAAUUUACGACAAUAGCUGACAUAAUUUUGCCCAUAUUGGUAUAUUUGGUGUCAAAAAACAAAUAAAAGUUGGUUUAGGAUGUGUGUAGGUAGGCUAUGGUCUCAUGUUUCUUUAAGACGCUGUCCUACAUCAGAGAUGUGACUCCACCCCAUCCAGUCCGUAACAAAGAGGGAAAGACAGGUGAGGAGAUGGAGGACAGUUCAAAAGUUGUAGCGGUGGCUGGAGUAGACAAAUUUAAUGUGGGAGGGGGAUGAGCAACUUGUGGAGUAGUUAUCUUCCAUUUAACGUUAUCAAGGUGAACUGCUCAAUAUAUUGUGAUAUUGAUUUGAGGCUUUAUCGCCCAGCCCUAUAUGGGCCUACAUUUGUGAUUAUUAGGUUGUUGAAACAUGUAUAUUUUUUUACACAAAGAACUAAAAGCAGGGAAGAUUAAAUCAGUCUUUUGUUGAUCAACUGUAGCUUAAAGUAUACAUUUAGUGUUUUUGUUUUAUUCAGUGUCAAACACAACUGCAUUUUAAAGCUAUAUUUCAUAUAUUUUCUGCAUGAAGGGGGACUCAGUUAACAUGCAGAUUCUUUGCCACUCUACAGAGGGCAUAACUAUGAAGUUUUUCCCCAUCAAAUGGCAAGUUCUGCAGUGAUUGCUGAAAAUAACAAACAGCAACCAAGUGGAAAAUCAUAAAACAUGUAAAAAACUUUUCUUUGUUCUAAAAAAUACAACAGCAAAGUAGAUUUCAUAUUCAGAUUUAUCAGAUCCUCUCAGAUCAGAAGAAUAACAGGUAACAAAGGUUUCCUGAAUUAAAGUUUGCAUGAAUUUAAUGCAUUUUUUGUUCUCAGAUAUUUGAAUAUUUUUGAUCAAAGCAUGGAUUAAACUCAUUGGUUUUGUACUUCUAUGGUUUCUUCCACCUUGUGCUUUGGGGACAGGUUUACAUCAGUUUAGCAGAGGCAGGCCCUAAAAGCUGAGGUGUGAGAGCACAAAAAACUAGUCUUACUUUUGUGACCUCCUGUCCUCUGUAGUUUCCACAAGCUAGACCUCUACAGUGUUGCGCUGUGAUAUUAUUAGUGUCAUAAAAACAUCCAGAAGUGUGUCCUUUGUUUUAUAAACAAUUUAAGAUGCGUAGGUUCAAAAUUUGUCAACUUUUAGAUAAGGUCAUUUUCAGUUUAUUCCCCUCAAAACUCCCUCAUUUUGGAGAAUCUGAAGUGCUCCAGCAGGUGUGCAAUAAAAGGUUUCAGGGUAGAAACUCGUAUCAUCAAGACAGACAUCUACAGCCUUUGAUUCCACAUCUCUCCCCCUUAUCUACCUGUUUUUCCCUUUUUGUUAAAAAAAAGUCUUUCUCCUUUUGCACUAUAACUUUUUAUUUCUGAAAGAUAACUGUCUAACCAGUAUUGGAUGUCUCCGGUGUUGUUGAUCCGAGAUAAUUUAUUCCCACUGCUAUAUUCAGCUCGAGUCGCUCAGGAUUAGAGUGACAGCUUAAAGCCGAAAACGUAAACACUUUAUAGAAAGUUUGAAUUGCUUCAGCUUCCAGAUAUGCUGGCUGCUAUUAGAGAUGGCAGAUAAUGAUACAGCUAAGUGCUUCAAAGCCAGAAAAAGGAGAAGAGAGGUAGGAAAGGAAGGGAAGGAAGAGGAAACUUAUAAAAAAGUUUUUGAAAGUGGGUGAUCAAUGACAUUUAGAUCCCUGUUUUAAAGUUAAAGAUUUUACACAUUUUUUACAUAAGAUUAUGAACUCCUGCUAUAAAAAUUUAGGAAAACAUAUCACACUUUUGGUUGCUAUCUUGAUAUAUUUGAUGUUAUUCAUAAUCAUGGAGCUAGAACUGGCAUGUACAGUAUGAUGAACCAUUUUAGCUUUUAGACCAAACCAUAUAUCUUGCCCAUCAGUCUUUCAGCCCCCAUCAUGAACUGGAUGUGAACUUGAUAAAACUGAAGUUGACUGCAGCUCUGUCAGAGGCUGAGCUGAUUCUUUGGGGACUUGAGGCUUAUUUCAUAACACUGCAGAAGCUGUGUUUUUGUUGAUGUCAGCAUAUUAUAGGUUUGUGCAACAACUUGUGUCUUUUGAUGGCACAUACUCUUACACAAAAACACAUAUUGACAGCUGCAUUGUUUGGAGGAUGAGGCAACCAAACCUGUAAAGAUAAUAAUCUUUGACAUUUACACAGUAAGAGAUGCUGGUGUUGCUUCAUGAUCAAGUGUUAAUAUCUGUGUUUGUACCCAUUCUUCACUGUCAAUGUGGGGAACUCAAAUAUUGUUACUGACUCUUACCGCUGUAUUCCUUACCUGCAUAACAUAGUCUUGUUUAUUUUUUUUCGUGUUGAAGUUUUUUCCUACAAAAAAGUUUGACUGACUGAGAACAGAUGCUCAUGUGUCUCUGUUGUAUUUCCCCAGGAGAGCUGCUCUGUGAAUGUUGCUUGCAUCAGGGCGAUAGUAACCAAUCCUAUUCUACAAGACCAGCAACUUUGAUUGUCACCAAAUCAACCAAGACAGCAAUCUCAAGGAUUAUGACUUUGUCCUGCAAGAAUAUUACCUAUAUAAAAACAACUUGUCAUGGCUGUGUUCGCUCCUCACCUCCCACCUCAUCUUUUUAUCCUCGAUGAGGACUAAGAAUAAAAUGUGGACUUGUCAUCCUGGGACGGCAUAUUUUUUCAUACUGUAGGAGAUAUAAGAGUUAUAAAGUUUGUCUUUGUUUGUGACAACUUUGCCAGACAACACCAUUGAUAUUGAAUUGUAUCACCUUCUUUUCUCUUCUGCUGCAACUUAUUGAUGUUCCAACAGUCUGUCUAUUUUUCCCGUGUCUUUAUUUUAACCUCCAAAUCUACACUUCUGUUAUCAUAAGGAAAUAUAGGCAAAGGAACUAAUACCUUUUAUUUAAGCCUUUGUUUGAAUUUCUCAAUAAACGAUGGUGGUGAAAGUGCGUUUUAUA